AACGGAUAAAAGCUACCCUGGGGAUAACAGGCUUAUCGCCCCCAAGAGUCCACAUCGACGGGGAGGUUUGGCACCUCGAUGUCGGCUCAUCACAUCCUGGGGCUGUAGUAGGUCCCAAGGGUUGGGCGGUUCGCCCAUUAAAGUGGUACGCGAGCUGGGUUCAGAACGUCGUGAGACAGUUCGGUCCCUAUCCGUCGCAGGCGUAGGAAAUUUGAGAAGACCUGUCCUUAGUACGAGAGGACCGGGAUGGACGUACCUCUGGUGUACCAGUUGUCCUGCCAAGGGCAUGGCUGGGUAGCUAUGUACGGAAUGGAUAAGCGCUGAAAGCAUCUAAGCGCGAAG
rnacentral:rRNA from 1 species